rnacentral:lncRNA from 1 species
UGAAUUUGAUUAUUUUGCUCUAUUUCAAUAGUUUUCAAGUGACCCCUCUUGGAUGAGUCAAUAGAGACAAAUUUCUUAAAAAGACCAUUUUGCGAUAUCACUUACUGGUUACAUAGUACAUUGUUACACAGUAUGUUAUGAAAUCAAGAACCAAUACUGCUAACCUUCAGUGCUUUUGGAGUUCAUUACAAUGUAAAUAAUCUCACUAAAUGUGGACUUGCAAACCCAUAGGGAAAAGACUGACCAUUCUGAUAGGUCACUGAGUUCUUUGUAAAUUCACUCUUUCAGAAAAUUCAUUUCUCCACCAAAUAAGCAGUGGUACUAUAUUUAUUUUAAGAAAGAAAACACUGACAACAUGGCCUUAAUA